AUACUUACGUGGCAGAGGUGAUACAAUGAUGAAGAAGGUGGUUUACCCAAGGCAAGGCUCAGCCAUUGCACUCAGGCAGUGCUGACCCUUGUGAAUUCCCAGAAUGUGGGAAUCUUAACUGCAUGAUUACUGAUAGUGGGGACUGUGCGUUUGUGCUCUCCCCUG